UACGUAGGGUGCAAGCGUUAAUCGGAAUUACUGGGCGUAAAGCGUGCGCAGGCGGUUUUGUAAGUUUGUCGUGAAAUCCCCGGGCUCAACCUGGGAAUGGCGAUGAAGACUGCAAGGCUAGAAUCUGGCAGAGGGGGGGUAGAAUUCCACGUGUAGCAGUGAAAUGCGUAGAGAUGUGGAGGAACACCGAUGGCGAAGGCAGCCCCCUGGGUCAAGAUUGACGCUCAU
rnacentral:rRNA from 1 species